GUCGAGGGGCAGCGGGGUUGUAGCAAUACAACUGCCGGCGACCGGCGCACUGGUGAGUAACACGUAUGUAACCUGCCCUCUGCAGGGGGAUAAGCGGAAGAAAUUCCGUCUAAUACCGCAUAAUACAAUUUGGAGACAUCUCCGGGUUGUCAAAGGAGUGAUCCGGCAGAGGAUGGACAUGCGGCGCAUUAGCUAGUCGGCGGGGUAACGGCCCACCGAGGCUACGAUGCGUAGGGGUUCUGAGAGGAAGGUCCCCCACACUGGUACUGAGACACGGACCAGACUCCUACGGGAGGCAGCAGUGAGGAAUAUUGGUCAAUGGGCGGAAGCCUGAACCAGCCAAGUCGCGUGAGGGAAGAUGGUCCUAUGGAUUGUAAACCUCUUUUGCAGGGGAGCAAGGCGCGGUACGUGUACCGCGAAGGAGAGUACCCUGAGAAAAAGCAUCGGCUAACUCCGUGCCAGCAGCCGCGGUAAUACGGAGGAUGCGAGCGUUAUCCGGAUUUAUUGGGUUUAAAGGGUGCGCAGGCGGACUGUUAAGUCAGCGGUAAAAUGUCGGUGCUCAACACCGGCCGGCCGUUGAAACUGGCAGCCUUGAGUGAGCGAGAAGUAUGCGGAAUGCGUGGUGUAGCGGUGAAAUGCAUAGAUAUCACGCAGAACUCCGAUUGCGAAGGCAGCAUACCGGCGCUCAACUGACGCUCAGGCACGAAAGCGUGGGUAUCGAACAGGCUUAGAUACCCUGGUAGUCCACGCAGUAAACGAUGAAUGCUCACUGUCCGGGCCGUUUAAGGCCUGGGUGGUCAAGCGAAAGCGUUAAGCAUUC
rnacentral:rRNA from 1 species